rnacentral:rRNA from 1 species
UGAGGAAUAUUGGACAAUGGGCGCGAGCCUGAUCCAGCCAUGCCGCGUGCAGGAAGACUGCCCUAUGGGUUGUAAACUGCUUUUAUACGGGAAGAAACCCAUCUACGUGUAGAUGGCUGACGGUACCGUAAGAAUAAGGAUCGGCUAACUCCGUGCCAGCAGCCGCGGUAAUACGGAGGAUCCGAGCGUUAUCCGGAAUCAUUGGGUUUAAAGGGUCCGUAGGUGGACGAUUAAGUCAGAGGUGAAAUCCUGCAGCUCAACUGUAGAAUUGCCUUAGAUACUGGUUGUCUUGAAUUAUUGUGAAGUGGUUAGAAUAUGUAGUGUAGCGGUGAAAUGCAUAGAUAUUACAUAGAAUACCAAUUGCGAAGGCAGAUCACUAACAAUAUAUUGACACUGAUGGACGAAAGCGUGGGGAGCGAACGGGAUUAGAUACCCCUGUAGUCC